rnacentral:misc_RNA from 1 species
AUCGUUUCUACUUCGUUAAUUCAUUGACCCAUGUCUCUGUCUUGGUAUAUUCUGGAGACAAAUCCCCACGUCCAGAGUUACAAGAAGAUCAAGCUUGGCUGUGGCUGCUGCUGUGUUGCCUCCUCUUGUUGGACCGAAGAGAGGGAGGGGAGAAGCAGCUGGCGUGCAGACUUCUACUCAGGUGGUCUUUUAUUCUCUAUGGGGCUUCUAGGAUACAUCUUCUCCAGAAGCACCAUAAGUCUUGUCUUGGGCAUUACACCAGUGCUAGCCACUCUGCUACUUGGCACUUUCAGUCUGAAGUUCUGGAGGAGCGGCAGAUCCAGCUUCCUGCUUAUCUUGGCUCAGAGGUGAUGCUGAUGUGCAAGCAUCUUCACCUUGAGUUCUGCCUUGCCAGAAUGAAUCAAGUUUAUUUUCCCAUCCUGCUCCAUUUGAGGCAAAUUGAACAGGAUUUGUUUGGCUUCCAAAUGGUUUGUUGGUCCUAAAAUAGUCAGAAUCACAUGACAUCUGUGCUAUAGAUAUGGACCUCGGUGGUUUUCUCCACAUUAGGAAAGCUGGAAGAGCCUUUUUGAACUCAGUUUUUUUGCUAACAGUGGUGUUAUGGUGAAACAGAGUUUUGUAUGUAUGUACCAACAGCUAAAAUGUAAACACAACAUUAUCAUAGUUGAGUACAAGAAUAAUUAUCUCUUAUAUCUUAUUGCAAAAUCUGAAACAGUUCUCCUGUAGAUGGUUAGCUUGCAUUUUACGCUACAAUUACCUCAGAUCACUUGUAUCUUACACCAAUUUACGAAAUUUGUUGAUGCGUUUUAUGACAA